CAAAAAAGUAUGUUUUAAUAAUAUGUAAUGUCCAGACUAACAAACUACAAAACUAAAUCUGUAAGAAACACUCCCAUCAGGCACACACCUACAUAGACAUGUGCACACAAAUGACACUAAUAAACAAACAAUGAGUACAUCUCUCUGAACCUCGCACACAGUAUCUGCUGGCUUUUAUCCCUUAUUUUUAUACCCCCUUUAGAUAAUACCGUAUAACCACAUUUCUACUUUUGGUAACACUCUUUUAAUUCAGAAAUCCCACAGUUGGUGUUUGCUCCCAAUGUUGUUGUGGAAAAGCGAUAAAUAUGUCCUUGUUUGUUGAAGUUGGUCAAAAAUUUCUCCUUAAUCAGCAUAAUCAAUUUGCCCACCGCAACUAGUUUGCAGAUCUGUUGCAUUUGUAAAUGUGUGAUUUCCCUCACGCUUGAGGUAGUCUUGGAAACUUAACAUUUUUCUUUCUCCAUCCCCCACUUGAUAAAGGAAAUAGUACUUUAAUGUGGAUGAUGUCAGAAGAUACUGAGGACAAGGAUAAUCAUGUUGAUGACUUGGUUACCUUGGUAUCCUCCAGCCUUCCUCCUAGGAGCACACAGCAGUUUUUUUUAUCCCCAGCCCAACCCCCAGAUAUUCAUGAUGCAGAGAAGUAAAAAUUUCUUGGAAUUUAUGCCAUGGGCGUUACAGCUGAAUAAAACUAAGCUUCCCAGGUCCAAGCUCAGGAGAAUAAGCCAGCCACUACAUUACAGCAGUUGUAUUAAAAGAUUCAUGAUCACCACUUAAUUUUUUUUUCUCACUCAUGCAGUUAUGUCAGCCAAGAAUAUGAGUGACCCAAUGGCUUUGAAGGAAAGAGAUCCUGCUGACAACUGGACUGCAGAUGAUAUUUCCAGUAGAAGUUCUGACCUUUUGAAAUCGAAGCAGGUGCCUUUUUGUGCUGAGAUGACUGUGGGACUGGUAGAUUCGGACUCUGUUUCCAACCAUGGCAGUUUGAGGAAAAGAAAAAACUCUCAUUCUGUAACAAAUGGGCUUGGGAAUGGUGUACAAAAUCCUGUAGAUCAGGACAAGGUUUUCAGGGCCAAUCAUACUAAAAGGCAAGGAGAAGAAGACAAAGAAGUGGCUUGCCAGUAUUCAGGAACCAACACCCAUUUGUUUCCCCUUUCUGGGACAAUAUUAAGCCCUAAGAAGCGGAAGCUGAUUCUACACAUUGAUUUGAAUAACACCGUCCUCGUCUCAGAUGCUGUCACCGGUCAGGAUCCCAGAGCUGCUUUAAACUGUUACCUGACUACUGUGACCUGGGGAAAAGUUGGCCCUUCAGGUAAAUGGCAGUGGCUCAGCGAGUCCCCUUCCCUGCUUUCCCCCUGCCCGGAUGCUGUAAGCUUUUACUCUCAGUAUGGCCGAAACACCAAAUUCACAGACACGAACAAAGGGCAGCGUUUUCGAGACCUUCAACAGCGCCACUUGAAGCUGCUGGAAUGGCAGGCCCGGCUCACGCGCUGCUCUCCAUCCAAGGUGA
rnacentral:lncRNA from 11 species